rnacentral:piRNA from 1 species
UACACAUGAGUCUGUGACACAGAGUGGGUC